AAACCAGCACCUCAAGUGGUCAGGAGGAUUAUUGGGCCUAAAGCAUCCGUAGCCUGUUCUAUAAGUUUCCGGUUAAAUCCACUAGCUCAACUAGUGGGCUGCCGAAAAUACUGUAGAACUAGGGAGUGGGAGAGGUAGACGGUAUUCGGUAGGAAGGGGUAAAAUCCUUUGAUCUAUUGAGGACCACCUGUGGCGAAGGCGGUCUACCAGAACACGUUCGACGGUGAGGGAUGAAAGCUGGGGGAGCAAACCGGAUUAGAAACCCUGGUAGUCC
rnacentral:rRNA from 1 species